rnacentral:rRNA from 1 species
UUGGGCGUAAAGAGCUCGUAGGUGGUUCGUUACGUCGGAUGUGAACAUCUGGGGCUCAACCCCAGACCUGCAUCCGAUACGGUCGAGCUAGAGUUUGGUAGGGGAGACUGGAAUUCCUGGUGUAGCGGUGGAAUGCGCAGAUAUCAGGAGGAACACCAAUGGCGAAGGCAGGUCUCUGGGCCAAUACUGACACUGAGGAGCGAAAGCGUGGGGAGCGAACAGGAUUAGAUACCCUGGUAGUCCACGCCGUAAACGGUGGGCACUAGUUGUGGGGACCUUCCACGGUCUCUGCGACGCAGCUAACGCAUUAAGUGCCCCGCCUGGGGAGUACGAUCGCAAGAUUAAAACUCAAAGGAAUUGACGGGGCCCCGCACAAGCAGCGGAGCAUGCGGCUUAAUUCGACGCAACGCGAAGAACCUUACCAAGGCUUGACAUAUACAGGAAUAUGGCAGAGAUGUCAUAGCCGCAAGGUCUGUAUACAGGUGGUGCAUGGUUGUCGUCAGCUCGUGUCGUGAGAUGUUGGGUUAAGUCCCGCAACGAGCGCACCCUCGUUCUGUGUUGCC